rnacentral:rRNA from 1 species
GAUGAACGCUGACAGAAUGCUUAACACAUGCAAGUCAACUUGAACUUCGGUUUGGGUGGCGGACGGGUGAGAAACGCGUAAAGAACUUGCCUCACAGAUAGGGACAACAUUUGGAAACGAAUGCUAAUACCUGAUAUUAUGAUUAUAUGGCAUCGUAUAAUUAUGAAAGCUAUAUGCGCUGUGAGAGAGCUUUGCGUCCCAUUAGCUAGUUGGAGAGGUAACGGCUCACCAAGGCGAUGAUGGGUAGCCGGCCUGAGAGGGUGAUCGGCCACAAGGGGACUGAGACACGGCCCUUACUCCUACGGGAGGCAGCAGUGGGGAAUAUUGGACAAUGGACCAAGAGUCUGAUCCAGCAAUUCUGUGUGCACGAUGAAGUUUUUCGGAAUGUAAAGUGCUUUCAGUUGGGAAGAAAAAAAUGACGGUACCAACAGAAGAAGUGACGGCUAAAUACGUG